AUUUAUAGUAAAAUGUUGAAACCCUAGAUUCACUAGAAGACAAGAGACUUCAGGCGGUUUGGUCGAAUGCUCGAUCUUGGGGAUCGAGUAAGGAGGGUGCUUCAAAGUUUGCGCCUUUGUGUCUAUGCUCCGAGUGAUCAAUUGGUUGAGUAGAUGCUUCUUCCUCUCCUAUCCGUAUGCUCAGAUGUCUAGUUGAGUGGAGAAUGAGGAGGAUCCGAAGACGCUUUGAUAGCUCAACAAGUCUUGUAGAGUUUGUCACCCUUGAUCGAGUAAAUGGGUCAAGUAGAGGAUCGAGUAGGAGGGGCGAGUAGAUCAAUCAGCUGCUUCAUCUGAGGCUACCUUGAUCGAGUAAAGGGGUCGAGUGAAUUGAUGCCUCUUCUGUAGCUGCCUGGAUCGAGUGAAUGGAUCAAGUAGAGUCCUUUUUAGCUCCUUCUGCACUUGAAAACACACCAAAACAUGC
rnacentral:sRNA from 1 species